GUGUCAGCAGCCGCGGUAAUACGAAGGGUGCAAGCGUUACUCGGAAUUACUGGGCGUAAAGCGUGCGUAGGUGGUGGUUUAAGUCUGCUGUGAAAGCCCUGGGCUCAACCUGGGAAUUGCAGUGGAUACUGGAUCACUAGAGUGUGGUAGAGGGAUGCGGAAUUUCUGGUGUAGCAGUGAAAUGCGUAGAGAUCAGAAGGAACAUCCGUGGCGAAGGCGGCAUCCUGGGCCAACACUGACACUGAGGCACGAAAGCGUGGGGAGCAAACAGGAUUAGAUACCCUGGUAGUCCACGCCCUAAACGAUGCGAACUGGAUGUUGGGUGCAACUUGGCACCCAGUAUCGAAGCUAACGCGUUAAGUUCGCCGCCUGGGGAGUACGGUCGCAAGACUGAAACUCAAAGGAAUUGACGG
rnacentral:rRNA from 1 species